rnacentral:rRNA from 1 species
UACCAGCACCCCCGAGUGGUCGGGACGAUUAUUGGGCCUAAAGCAUCCGUAGCCGGUUCUACAAGUCUUCCGUUAAAUCCACCUGCUUAACAGAUGGGCUGCGGAGGAUACUAUGGAGCUAGGAGGCGGGAGAGGCAAGCGGUACUUAGUGGGUAGGGGUAAAAUCCGUUGAUCCAUUGAAGACCACCAGUGGCGAAGGCGGCUUGCCAGAAC